rnacentral:rRNA from 1 species
UACGGGGGGGGCAAGCGUUGUUCGGAAUUACUGGGCGUAAAGGGCUCGUAGGCGGCCAACUAAGUCAGACGUGAAAUCCCUCGGCUUAACCGGGGAACUGCCUCUGAUACUGGAUGGCUUGAGAUUGGGAGAGGGAUGCGGAAUUCCAGGUGUAGCGGUGAAAUGCGUAGAUAUCUGGAGGAAAACCGGUGGCGAAGGCGGCAUCCUGGACCAACACUGACGCUGAGGAGCGAAAGCCAGGGGAGCAAACGGG